ACCUGCCGAAAGGCAGACUAAUACCGCAUAGUCUUCGAUGACGGCAUCAGAUUUGAAGUAAAGAUUUAUCGGUAAUGGAUGGGGAUGCGUCUGAUUAGCUUGUUGGCGGGGUAACGGCCCACCAAGGCGACGAUCAGUAGGGGUUCUGAGAGGAAGGUCCCCCACAUUGGAACUGAGACACGGUCCAA
rnacentral:rRNA from 1 species